AACCAUAGAAACCUGCGGAGUACCUGCGGAAGGAUCAUUACAGAGUUGCAAAACUCCCUAAACCAUUGUGAACGUUACCUAAACCGUUGCUUCGGCGGGCGGCCCGGGUCCUUCCCGGCGCCCCUCGGCCCUCGCGGGCGCCCGCCGGAGGUAAACCAAACUAUUGCAUUGUAAGGCCUCUCUGAGUCUUCUGUACUGAAUAAGUCAAAACUUUUAACAACGGAUCUCAGAUCGGAAGAG
rnacentral:misc_RNA from 1 species